GAGGCCGGUGCGGCGCGACUAGGGCGCAGGCCCCACUCGCGGCAACGGAACAGUCUGCCGAGCAACGGACUCAGCGCGGCCGAAAAAAAUAAAAUGAAAAGCCUCCCAGCGGCACUGGGGAAACACAGCUACUGCAGAGAUGGCGAAUCUGGCGGGGCUUGAAUUGUUAAGUCAGUUUCCCCUUUCCUGGCUGUAGCUGAUAAGUAUAUCCUGCUGGAUAAAAAUACACCCACCCUUACGGAAAGGAAACCUGAAACUGUCUUCUGGGAGACUGAAUGGAGACUGACCCUGAUGGAGAAUGGAAGACACCAAGGCAAAGACUAUGGAGUGUGGGAACGGAGAGUGUAGCUUACACCGUGAGCCAGGAUUCUGACACUCAGACCGUUCAAGAUAUGGUAUAAAAAGACCACACUCCAUUCAGAAGCCAGGUCAAGCCAAGCUGUACUGACAAUGCUAAUUUAGCAGGACCCACUGUAAAAAUGAGAAUCAAUUACAAUGCCUUCCCCAUCAAUUUGUUUUAUUAGGUUAAUUAAACAGCUUAAAGACAA